rnacentral:misc_RNA from 1 species
GAUGAAGAACGCAGCGAAAUGCGAUAAGUAAUGUGAAUUGCAGAAUUCAGUGAAUCAUCGAAUCUUUGAACGCACCUUGCACUCCUUGGUAUUCCGAGGAGUACGCCUGUUCGAGUGUUAUGAAGCUCUCAAAACGCAAUUGGCUUAAAACCUGAUUGUUGUUUUGGAUUUGAACUUUGCCGUGUUAUAACGGCUGGUUUUAAAAGUAUUAGCUGGUACUAGAACGAAUUGGUUCUACUCAACGUGAUAAUUAUCUGAUCGUUGAGGACAUUCCUUUCACGAGGAAUGGCCAUAGUAAAUUCAAUGGACUGCUUCUAAUCUGGCUUUAAUUCUUUAUUGGAUUAACCACUUUUCAAAUCUGACCUCGAAUCAGGUGGGACUACCCGCUGAACUUUAGCAUAUCAAUAAGCGGAGGA